UACCAGCUCUCCGAGUGGUGUGGAUGUUUAUUGGGCCUAAAGCAUCCGUAGCUGGCUGGGCAAGUCCCCUGUUAAAUCCACCGAUUUAAUCGUUGGUGUGCGGGGGAUACUGUUCGGCUAGGGGACGGGAGAGGCCGACGGUAUUUUCGGGGUAGGGGUGAAAUCCUAUAAUCCCGGGAAGACCACCAGUGGCGAAGGCUGUCGGCUAGAACGCGCCCGACGGUGAGGGAUGAAAGCUGGGGGAGCGAACCGGAUUAGAUACCCGGGUAGUCCCAGCUGUAAACGAUGCGGGCUAGGUGUUUGGGCGGCCACGUGCCGCUCUAGUGCCGCAGAGAAGUCGUUAAGCCUGCCGCCUGGGGAGUACGGCCGCAAGGCUGAAACUUAAAGGAAUUGGCGGGGGAGCACCACAAGGGGUGAAGCUUGCGGUUU
rnacentral:rRNA from 1 species